rnacentral:rRNA from 1 species
AUUGAACGCUGGCGGCAGGCCUAACACAUGCAAGUCGAGCGGAGCGGCGGACGGGUGUGUAAUGCCUAGGAUUCUGCCUGGUAGUGGGGGAUAACGUCCGGAAACGGGCGCUAAUACCGCAUACUAUCAGAUGAGCCUAGGUCGGAUUAGCUAGUGGGUGGGGUAAUGGCCUCCAAAGGCGACGAUCCGUAACGGGUCUGAGAGGUUGAUCAGUCACACUGGAACUGAGAAACGGUCCAGACUCCUACGGGAGGCGGCAGUGGGGAAUAUUGGACAAUGGGCGAAAGCCGGAUCCAGCCAUGCCGCGUGUGUGAAGAAGGUCUUCGGAUUGUAAAGCACUUUAAGUUGGGAGGCGUUACCAAAAGAAUAAGCACCGGCUAACUUCGUGCCAGCAGCCGCGGUAAUAC